rnacentral:rRNA from 1 species
GAUCAGGUUGAUAGGUCUGAGGUGGAAGUGUGGCGACACAUGGAGCUGACAGAUACUAAUCGAUCGAGGACUUAACCAAUUU